rnacentral:antisense_RNA from 1 species
AACAAAUCAUGGUAGUAAAAUGGCGGCAGAGAGCUAGUAAUGUGUCUGGAACUGGUGGGUUCUUGAUCCCACUGACUUCAAGAAUGAAGCCGCGGACCCUCACGGUAUGACAGCUCCUCUCCCAACAGCUCUACUUUCUACAUCUACUCUCUACCACCACAAAACUUCUUUCAGUUCCAUGAAAGGGCCAUGUUUUUCUUGUCUCUUGGCCUAGGAGCAUGUUGUUCUUCUGCCAGCAACCUUCUUCAACCAUCUCCACAGGAUGACUCCUCUAUUGGAUACUUCCAUGAAAAGUCCAGGCCUGGGUUAUGUACCCUUCCCAAAGUGCACCCCAGACACCCAACAGUUUUUCCAGCCCAGACUCACCACACUGUGUGGUAAUUUCCUGAUCACUCAGUUGUGCUCCCCACAGACUAUAAGCUCUAUGAGGGCAGGGGCCACAGUUUGCUUGUUCACUACUAUAUGCUCAGUACCUGGUAAAUAUUAGUUGACUGAAGAAUGACUAUGUGGUAAUCUAUUCCAUUGGUGGCCUCCAGUGAACCAUGUCUUCUGGUAUUUACAUCUUGUGUGGUCCCCUCCAUUAAAUUUGGGCUUUAACCAACAGAAUGCUGCAGAAGCGACACCCUGCCACUUGUGCUUUUGUGAUCCUAGCCACCAGUAAGAAGCCCUGUGACCUUGUUGAGACCCUGAAGAGACCACAUAGAGAGGCCACUUGAAGGGCAAGGGGUCCUGACUCUACAUGGAGAGAGAAGCCCAGCCAUCCCUGUUUCCCAGCUGAGUCCUGACCAGAUAACUCACUACAAGACUGACCACAGGCAAGAACAGCAGAAGAGCUGCCCAGCUGAGCCCAUCCAAGAGUGCAGAAUUUCAAGCAAGUAAAAUGACUAAUGUUAGAACUCAGAAUGAAGGGGCCUCAGGUUACCUGCAUCAUUCUGGUUUUUUGCUCCUGUUUUACUACGAAGCAAACACCUCGACUAUAAGCAGCCAUAGACCAGGGUCUGUGUCUCAUUCGUGUCUGGACAAUGCAUCACAGACACUCAACUGUUUUCUGCCUGAGCAGAAUUAAGACUUGGCCUCCUAAUUCCUCCAUCACCAUCUUCUCCACUCUCUUCCUUGGCCUUCAUCACCAACACCACCUCAUCAACUGUGAGAGAUUCAAAGAGUAAGGAAAACCAUUUCUAGGACCAUGAAAUGUGUCACUGGAUCUCCUGCAGAAAUCUGCCAGAGCUACAAUGUGACUGGUUUCUACAUGUCUGACAAAUUUCUAUUUAAAUAAGUAUUUUUCAAAAUGCAAAUUGCUACCUAUUCUUUGGCCAUCAAAUCACUUUAGUGGGUUGCAACCGGCUUUUUCUUCUUAAUAGAAAAGGAAAUGUGUUGCAUUUGGUAAACAUGGAAAUUGUUUUAU